GAGGUUAAGCCCGAUGAACCUGAAUAUCCAUUAUGGGAAAUUCAUCAUUAUGAUUAUAGUAUUUAUUUAUUAAAUAAUAUAAUAAUGGUGCGCAUUUUUGCCAUAGAGGACAUUGUAAUCUAUUAAUAAAUGAAAAAUAUUUAUCAUAAGAUCAUUAAUGCAUAAGUUUACUCCAAUUAUUUUGCUUGCAAUUUAAAAUGGUGUAAAAUGUAUUUGAUUUGAUAAAGUAUUGAUAGAUUUAUUAAUAUAUAUAGUGCUCAAAAUAUAUGUAUGUAUGUGCAUAUUAUUUUAUAAUGUGUGUGUAUGUAUAUUAUAUUUUUAUAAUGGUCAUAUUAAUUUUAAUUAAUUUUUAUGUC
rnacentral:rRNA from 1 species